GAUGAAGAACGCAGCGAAAUGCGAUAACUAGUGUGAAUUGCAGAAUUCCGUGAAUCAUCGAGUCUUUGAACGCACAUUGCGCCCCCUGGUAUUCCGGGGGACAUGCCUGUCCGAGCGUCAUUGCUGCCCAUCAAGCACGGCUUGUGUGUUGGGUCGUCGUCCCCUCUCCGGGGGGGACGGGCCCCAAAGGCAGCGGCGGCACCGCGUCCGAUCCUCGAGCGUAUGGGGCUUUGUCACCCGCUCUGUAGGCCCGGCCGGCGCUUGCCGAACGCAAAUCAAUCUUUUCCAGGUUGACCUCGGAUCAGGUAGGGAUACCCGCUGAACUUAAGCAUAUCAAUAAGCGGAGGA
rnacentral:misc_RNA from 1 species